rnacentral:rRNA from 1 species
UACGUAGGGUGCGAGCGUUAAUCGGAAUUACUGGGCGUAAAGCGUGCGCAGGCGGUUCGUUGUGUCGGCGGUGAAAGCCCCGGGCUCAACCUGGGAAUGGCCGUUGAAACUGGCGAACUGGAGUGUGGCAGAGGGGGGGGUGGAAUUCCACGUGUAGCAGUGAAUGCGUAGAGAUGUGGAGGAACACCGGUGGCGAAGGCGGGUCUCUGGCCGAUACUGACGCUGAGGAGCGAAGCGUGGGAGCGAACAGG